rnacentral:rRNA from 1 species
ACACUCCUUCCCAUUCCGAACAGGAAAGUUAAGCUCUACAGCGUCAAUGGUACUGCACGGGUGACUGUGUGGGAGAGUAGAACGUUGCCAGGU